UACAGAGGUCUCAAGCGUUGUUCGGAUUCAUUGGGCGUAAAGGGUGCGUAGGCGGCGCGGUAAGUCGGGUGUGAAAUCUCGGAGCUUAACUCCGAAACUGCAUUCGAUACUGGCGUGCUUGAGGACUGGAGAGGAGACUGGAAUUCAUGGUGUAGCAGUGAAAUGCGUAGAGAUCAUGAGGAAGACCAGUGGCGAAGGCGGGUCUCUGGACAGUUCCUGACACUGAGACACGAAGGCCAGGGGAGCGAACAGG
rnacentral:rRNA from 1 species